UACCUUCCUAACUAAACCAGGAUUUACAGCUGUGGAUGUGUUUAUGACUCAUUAUUACAACGAAUCUGCUGCACACUGAGGAAGAUCCUGAAACACACCAGCAAACCCUAAAACAGACAACAGUUUACAGAUGUUUUUCAGCUGCAA
ensembl:lncRNA